AUGGUUUCCAAAAGAACAAUCCUCAUUUUUAGCCUAUUGGCAAUGGUUCUUCUUAUUUCCUCUGAGGUGUCAGCUAGGGAGUUUACUGAAGAGAUCGAUGAAAAGUCAAAUGAACUGAAUGAUGCCAAAUUUUUUGGACAUCAUCGUCACCAUCACGGUCACGAUCACGGCCAUGGUCAUGGGCAUGGGCACGGUGGUCAUCAUGGUGGACACGGUGCUGCUUCCGACAAUGGUAACUGA